rnacentral:rRNA from 1 species
AGCAGCCGCGGUAAUUCCAGCUCCAAUAGCGUAUAUUAAAGUUGUUGCAGUUAAAAAGCUCGUAGUUGAAUUUCGGGAUCAAUAUGUUGGUCGUGCCUUGGUACGUACUAGUUUAUUGGUUUCUUCCUUCUGACGAACCAUGAUGUCAUUAAUUUGGUGUCUUGGGGAAUCAGGACUGUUACUUUGAAAAAAUUAGAGUGUUUAAAGCAGGCUCACGCUUGAAUACAUUAGCAUGGAAUAAUGAAAUAGGACGUUUGAUUCUAUUUUGUUGGUUUCUAGGAUCGACGUAAUGAUUAAUAGGGAUAGUUGGGGGCAUUAGUAUUCAAUUGUCAGAGGUGAAAUUCUUGGAUUUAUUGAGGACUAACUACUGCGAAAGCAUUUGCCAAGGAUGUUUUCAUUAAUCAAGAACGAAAGUUAGGGGAUCGAAGACGAUCAGAUACCGUCGUAGUC